ACACCUCAACUCUCACGGUUUGCCGUGAUGAGCUUGGACUUUGGGGGUCUUGCUGGCCUAUGGUCAGCUCCUCUCAAAUGAAUCAGCUUGCCAGUGUUUGGUGGCGUCACAAGUGUGAUAACUAUCUACGCUUGUGGUUUUCCGCCAGAUGACCUUCAGCAGUGGAGGUCCACUGGAGCUUAUAAAUGUCUCUCCCCAGUGAGGACAGCUCUUUGAAU
rnacentral:misc_RNA from 1 species